GGCGUAAAGAGCUCGUAGGCGGUUUGUCGCGUCUGCCGUGAAAGUCCGGGGCUUAACUCCGGAUCUGCGGUGGGUACGGGCAGACUUGAGUGAUGUAGGGGAGACUGGAAUUCCUGGUGUAGCGGUGAAAUGCGCAGAUAUCAGGAGGAACACCGAUGGCGAAGGCAGGUCUCUGGGCAUUAACUGACGCUGAGGAGCGAAAGCAUGGGGAGCGAACAGGAUUAGAUACCCUGGUAGUCCAUGCCGUAAACGUUGGGCACUAGGUGUGGGGGACAUUCCACGUUUUCCGCGCCGUAGCUAACGCAUUAAGUGCCCCGCCUGGGGAGUACGGCCGCAAGGCUAAAACUCAAAGGAAUUGACGGGGGCCCGCACAAGCGGCGGAGCAUGCGGAUUAAUUCGAUGCAACGCGAAGAACCUUACCAAGGCUUGACAUGAACCGGAACGGCGCAGAGAUGUGUCGGCCACUUGUGGCCGGUUUACAGGUGGUGCAUGGUUGUCGUCAGCUCGUGUCGUGAGAUGUUGGGUUAAGUCCCGCAACGAGCGCAACCCUCGUUCCAUGUUGCCAGCGGGUUAUGCCGGGGACUCAUGGGAGACUGCCGGGGUCAACUCGGAGGAAGGUGGGGACGACGUCAAAUCAUCAUGCCCCUUAUGUCUUGGGCUUCACGCAUGCUACAAUGGCCGGUACAAAGGGUUGCGAUGCUGUGAGGUGGAGCUAAUCCCAAAAAGCCGGUCUCAGUUCGGAUUGAGGUCUGCAACUCGACCUCAUGAAGUCGGAGUCGCUAGUAAUCGCAGAUCAGCAACGCUGCGGUGAAUACGUUCCCGGGCCUUGUACACACCGCCCGUCAAGUCACGAAAGUUGGUAACACCCGAAGCCGGUGGCCUAACCCCUUGGGGAGGGAGCCGUCGAAGG
rnacentral:rRNA from 1 species